GAGAAUGCCGGUGUGAGUAGCGAAAGACGGGUGAGAAUCCCGUCCACCGAUUGACUAAGGUUUCCAGAGGAAGGCUCGUCCGCUCUGGGUUAGUCGGGUCCUAAGCUGAGGCCGACAGGCGUAGGCGAUGGAUAACAGGUUGAUAUUCCUGUACCACCUAUAAUCGUUUUAAUCGAUGGGGGGACGCAGUAGGAUAGGCGAAGCGUGCGAUUGGAUUGCACGUCUAAGCAGUAAGGCUGAGUAUUAGGCAAAUCCGGUACUCGUUAAGGCUGAGCUGUGAUGGGGAGAAGACAUUGUGUCUUCGAGUCGUUGAUUUCACACUGCCGAGAAAAGCCUCUAGAUAGAAAAUAGGUGCCCGUACCGCAAACCGACACAGGUAGUCAAGAUGAGAAUUCUAAGGUGAGCGAGCGAACUCUCGUUAAGGAACUCGGCAAAAUGACCCCGUAACUUCGGGAGAAGGGGUGCUCUUUAGGGUUAACGCCCAGAAGAGCCGCAGUGAAUAGGCCCAAGCGACUGUUUAUCAAAAACACAGGUCUCUGCUAAACCGUAAGGUGAUGUAUAGGGGCUGACGCCUGCCCGGUGCUGGAAGGUUAAGAGGAGUGGUUAGCUUCUGCGAAGCUACGAAUCGAAGCCCCAGUAAACGGCGGCCGUAACUAUAACGGUCCUAAGGUAGCGAAAUUCCUUGUCGGGUAAGUUCCGACCCGCACGAAAGGCGUAACGAUUUGGGCACUGUCUCAACGAGAGACUCGGUGAAAUCAUAGUACCUGUGAAGAUGCAGGUUACCCGCGACAGGACGGAAAGACCCCGUGGAGCUUUACUGUAGCCUGAUAUUGAAAUUCGGCACAGCUUGUACAGGAUAGGUAGGAGCCUUUGAAACGUGAGCGCUAGCUUACGUGGAGGCGCUGGUGGGAUACUACCCUAGCUGUGUUGGCUUUCUAACCCGCACCACUUAUCGUGGUGGGAGACAGUGUCAGGCGGGCAGUUUGACUGGGGCGGUCGCCUCCUAAAAGGUAACGGAGGCGCUCAAAGGUUCCCUCAGAAUGGUUGGAAAUCAUUCAUAGAGUGUAAAGGCAUAAGGGAGCUUGACUGCGAGACCUACAAGUCGAGCAGGGUCGAAAGACGGACUUAGUGAUCCGGUGGUUCCGCAUGGAAGGGCCAUCGCUCAACGGAUAAAAGCUACCCCGGGGAUAACAGGCUUAUCUCCCCCAAGAGUUCACAUCGACGGGGAGGUUUGGCACCUCGAUGUCGGCUCAUCGCAUCCUGGGGCUGUAGUCGGUCCCAAGGGUUGGGCUGUUCGCCCAUUAAAGCGGUACGCGAGCUGGGUUCAGAACGUCGUGAGACAGUUCGGUCCCUAUCCGUCGUGGGCGUAGGAAAUUUGAGAGGAGCUGUCCUUAGUACGAGAGGACCGGGAUGGACAUACCUCUGGUGUACCAGUUGUCGUGCCAACGGCAUAGCUGGGUAGCUAUGUGUGGACGGGAUAAGUGCUGAAAGCAUCUAAGCAUGAAGCCCCCCUCAAGAUGAGAUUUCCCAACUUCGGUUAUAAGAUCCCUCAAAGAUGAUGAGGUUAAUAGGUUCGAGGUGGA
rnacentral:rRNA from 1 species